GGAGCACCCGGAGGAAACCCACGCGGACACGGGGAGAACAUGCAAACUCCACACAGAAAGGCCCUCGCCGGCCACGGGGCUCGAACCCGGACCUUCUUGCUGUGAGGCGACAGCGCUAACCACUACACCAUCGUGCCGCCCCCAAUGUUUCCUGUUCCUACUUAUUCAGGUGACAUUGGGCAUACCUAACAACCUGUGUUUUCUCCAAAUCUGUCCCUCUGAGUUACAGGUCAAUCCUGAGAUCGAGAUGCUGAACCUCUUCUGCUCCUCGGACCUGCCUGAUCCAUCCUGAUGCCCUGUGUCAUCACAUCGCUCCUGUAGAGGACGGUCCUAUGUGGACAGUUGAAAGUCACACCUGGAAGACGCUCUGGACUCUUACACUGAUGCUAAACAGGCGAUCCGUUGGACUGAGAAACAACUGCUGAAAAAGUGAAACAAUUUUACAAACAGAAAAUCACAGAUCCCACGUCAAGACCCAUGGCUCUACCAUGACGACAAACAACAAGAAUUUAUUUGGCAAUCAGGAUUUCAUUUAUAAGACAUCAUAAUGUGAAAUGAAUGUAUUUCAAAUCGAGCUAAAUACCACAGCAUCAGCACCUGGACACGAACCAGUUCUCAUUCUCCGCCAAAGAAGGGGAAUUCAGACACUGGGUCGAAUGGUGACGACGCACAGGCGAACACACUCCAGUCUCCCCUGCGUGAACA